rnacentral:rRNA from 1 species
GAUGAACGCUGGCGGCGUGCCUAAUACAUGCAAGUCGAGCGAACAGACGAGGAGCUUGCUCCUCUGACGUUAGCGGCGGACGGGUGAGUAACACGUGGAUAACCUACCUAUAAGACUGGGAUAACUUCGGGAAACCGGAGCUAAUACCGGAUAAUAUAUUGAACCGCAUGGUUCGAUAGUGAAAGACGGUUUUGCUGUCACUUAUAGAUGGAUCCGCGCGGCAUUAGCUAGUUGGUAAGGUAACGGCUUAUCAAGGCAACGAUGCGUAGACGACCUGAGAGGGUGAUCGGCCACACUGGAACUGAGACACGGUCCAGACUCCUAAGGGAGGCAGCAGUAUGGAAUCGUCCGCAAUGGGCGAAAGCUUGACGGAGCAACGCCGCGUGAGUGAUGAAGGUCUUCGGAUCGUAAAACUCUGUUAUUAGGGAAGAACAAAUGUGUAAGUAACUAUGCACGUCUUGACGGUACCGAAUCAGAAAGCCACGGCUAACUACGUG